CCGGGCGGAGACGGGUGUCCCGACGUCAACUCGGAACCCGCUAUUUACUUCCAGACCCGGCCCCUUUUCCGCCGCGAUCCUGCAGGCCGUCAGACCGACACAUGCAAAAACCCCGAAGAUGUCACAGUACGGCGGAAUGACCGAUCCCUUUGUCCACAUGGACACCUUCAAGAAGGUCACCAACAACAAGGGCUUCGACGACGCCACCUUGUGCCAUUUAUUCAGCGAAACAUUGGACGGCG
rnacentral:lncRNA from 1 species